AAGUCGAACGGGAUCCCUGGCGAGCUUGCUGUCGGGGUGAGAGUGGCGAACGGGUGAGUAAUGCGUGACCAACCUGCCCUGUGCACCGGAAUACCUCCUGGAAACGGGUGGUAAUACCGGAUGCUCCGCUCCAUCGCAGGGUGAGGUGGGAAAUGCUUUUGCGGCAUGUGAUGGAGUCGCGUCCUAUCAGCUUGUUGGCGGGGUGAUGGCCCACCAAAGCAUUGACGGGUAGCCUGCCUGAAAGGGUGACCGGCCACAUUGGGACUGAGAUACGGCCCACCACUCCUACGGGAGGCAGCAGUGGGUGAAUAUUGCACAAUGGGCGCAAGCCUGAUGCAGCGACGCCGCGUGCGGGAUGGAGGCCUUCGGGUUGUAAACCGCUCUUGUUCAAGGGCAAGGCACGGUUUCGGCCGUGUUGAKUGGAUUGUUCGAAUAAKCACCGAGCUAACUACGUGCCAGCAGCCGCGGUAAUACGUAGGGUGCKASCGUUAUCCGGAUUUAUUGRGYGUAAAGGGCUMGURGGCGGUUCGUCGCGUCCRGUGUGAAAGUCCAUCGUCCUAACGGUGGAUCUGCKCMGGGUACGGGCGGGCUGGARUGCKGUAGGGGAGACUGGAAUUCCYGRUGUAACRGUGGAAYGUGUAGAUAUCRKGAAGAACACCAAUGGYGAAGGCAGGUCUSUGGUSCCGUCASUGACGYUGAKGAGCSAAAGCGUGGGGAGCGAACAGGAUUAKAUACCCUGGUAGUCCACGCCGUAWACGGUGGAUGCUGGUAUGUGGKGCCCWUUCCACKGGUCCCGUGUCKGASYCAACGCKUUAAKCAUCCCGCCMKGGGGAAGUACGGCCGCAARGCUAAAAYUCAAAGAAWUUGACGGGGAGCCCGCACAAGCGGUCGGAGCRUGUCGGAUUAAUUCGAUGCAACGCGAAGAACCUWACCUGSGCUUGACWUGUGCCGGAUCSCCKUGGAGACACGGUUUCCCUUCGGGGCCGGUUCACAGGUGGUGCAUGGUCGUCGUCAGCUCGUGUCGUGAGAUGUUGGGUUAAGUCCCGCAACGAGCGCAACCCUCGCCGCAUGUUGCCAGCGGGUGAUGCCGGGAACUCAUGUGGGACCGCCGGGGUCAACUCGGAGGAAGGUGGGGAUGACGUCAGAUCAUCAUGCCCCCUACGUCCAGGGCUUCACGCAUGUUACAAUGGCCGGUACAACGCGGUGCGACACGGUGACGUGGGGCGGAUCGCUGAAAACCGGUAUCAGUUUGGAUCGCAGUCUGCAAAUCGAGUGCGUGAAGGGGGAGUCGCUAGUAAUCGCGGAUCAGCAACGCCGCGGUGAAUGCGUUCCCGGGCCUUGUACACACCGCCCGUCAAGUCCUGAAAGUGGGUAGCACCCGAAGCCG
rnacentral:rRNA from 1 species